rnacentral:rRNA from 1 species
GACGAACGCUGGCGGCGUGCUUAACACAUGCAAGUCGAACGGAAAGGCCCUGCUUUUGCGGGGUGCUCGAGUGGCGAACGGGUGAGUAACACGUGAGUAACCUGCCCUUGACUUUGGGAUAACUUCAGGAAACUGGGGCUAAUACCGGAUAGGAGCUCCUGCUGCAUGGUGGGGGUUGGAAAGUUUCGGCGGUUGGGGAUGGACUCGCGGCUUAUCAGCUUGUUGGUGGGGUAGUGGCUUACCAAGGCUUUGACGGGUAGCCGGCCUGAGAGGGUGACCGGCCACAUUGGGACUGAGAUACGGCCCAGACUCCUACGGGAGGCAGCAGUGGGGAAUAUUGCACAAUGGGCGGAAGCCUGGUGCAGCAACGCCGCGUGCGGGAUGACGGCCUUCGGGUUGUAAACCGCUUUCGCCUGUGACGAAGCGUGAGUGACGGUAAUGGGUAAAGAAGCACCGGCUAACUACGUGCCAGCAGCCGCGGUGAUACGUAGGGUGCGAGCGUUGUCCGGAUUUAUUGGGCGUAAAGGGCUCGUAGGUGGUUGAUCGCGUCGGAAGUGUAAUCUUGGGGCUUAACCCUGAGCGUGCUUUCGAUACGGGUUGACUUGAGGAAGGUAGGGGAGAAUGGAAUUCCUGGUGGAGCGGUGGAAUGCGCAGAUAUCAGGAGGAACACCAGUGGCGAAGGCGGUUCUCUGGGCCUUUCCUGACGCUGAGGAGCGAAAGCGUGGGGAGCGAACAGGCUUAGAUACCCUGGUAGUCCGCGCUGUAAACGGUGGGUACUAGGUGUGGGGUCCAUUCCACGGGUUCCGUGCCGUAGCUAACGCUUUAAGUACCCCGCCUGGGGAGUACGGCCGCAAGGCUAAAACUCAAAGGAAUUGACGGGGCCCCGCACAAGCGGCGGAGCAUGCGGAUUAAUUCGAUGCAACGCGUAGAACCUUACCUGGGUUUGACAUGGAUCGGGAGUGCUCAGAGAUGGGUGUGCCUCUUUUGGGGUCGGUUCACAGGUGGUGCAUGGCUGUCGUCAGCUCGUGUCGUGAGAUGUUGGGUUAAGUCCCGCAACGAGCGCAACCCUUGUUCACUGUUGCCAGCACGUUAUGGUGGGGACUCAGUGGAGACCGCCGGGGUCAACUCGGAGGAAGGUGGGGAUGACGUCAAGUCAUCAUGCCCCUUAUGUCCAGGGCUUCACGCAUGCUACAAUGGCUGGUACAGAGAGUGGCGAGCCUGUGAGGGUGAGCGAAUCUCGGAAAGCCGGUCUCAGUUCGGAUUGGGGUCUGCAACUCGACCUCAUGAAGUCGGAGUCGCUAGUAAUCGCAGAUCAGCAACGCUGCGGUGAAUACGUUCCCGGGGCU